UCCGGUUUAACACCGGCAGUCUCCCUAGAGUCCCCGGCAUGACCCGCUGGCAACUAAGGACAAGGGUUUCGCUCGUUAAGGGACUUAACCCGACAUCUCACGACACGAGCUGACGACAGCCAUGCAGCAUCUGUGCACGUUGUACCCGAAGGCCUGGCUCCUGUUUCCAGGAGUUAAUCCGUGCAUGUCAAGACUAGGAUAAGGUUCUUCGCGUAGCCUCGAAUUAAGCCACAUCAUCCACCGCUUGUGUGAGCCCCCGUCAAUUUCUUUGAGUUUCAGCCUUGCGACCAUACUCCCCAGGCGGGGCACUUACUACGUUAGCGACGGCACUCAGAGGGUCGCUCCCCCAAGCACCUAGUGCCCAUCGUUUACGGCGUGGACUAC
rnacentral:misc_RNA from 1 species